GACGAACGCUGGCGGCGUGCUUAACACAUGCAAGUCGAACGGAAAGGCCCUGCUUUUGUGGGGUGCUCGAGUGGCGAACGGGUGAGUAACACGUGAGUAACCUGCCCUUGACUUUGGGAUAACUUCAGGAAACUGGGGCUAAUACCGGAUAGGAGCUCCUGCUGCAUGGUGGGGGUUGGAAAGUUUCGGCGGUUGGGGAUGGACUCGCGGCUUAUCAGCUUGUUGGUGGGGUAGUGGCUUACCAAGGCUUUGACGGGUAGCCGGCCUGAGAGGGUGACCGGCCGCACUGGAACUGAGACACGGUCCAGAGGCCUACAGGAGGCAGCAGUGGGGAAGAUGGGACAAUGGGCGCAAGCAUGAUCCAGCCAUAGCGGGUGGGUGAAGAAGGCGUUCGGGGUGUGAAGCACUUUUGUGGGGAAAGAAAAGCAGCAGGGUAAUACCAAGCUGUUCUGAAGGUACCCAAAGAAUAAGCACCGGCUAACUUCGUG
rnacentral:rRNA from 1 species